rnacentral:rRNA from 1 species
AAUGAAAGUGGCAAACGGGUGAGUAAUGUGUGGAUAAUCUACCUUAAAGAGGGGGAUAGUCUUGCGAAAGCGGGAAUAAUACCCCAUAAUAUCAUUUUUUGGGGACAAGAAAUGAUUAAAGAUUUAUCGCUUUAAGAUGAGUUCACAUCCUAUCAGCUAGUUGGUGAGGUAAUGGCUUACCAAGGCAGCGACGGGUAGCCGGCCUGAAAGGGUGAACGGCCACACUGGAACUGAUACACGGUCCAGACUCC